UGUUUAAUUAGGGUUGGAGCUAAACUCUGCAGGACAGUGUCCCUUCAGGAACAGGUUUGGACAGCUCUGAUAUAAAACCUUUUCUCUCUCUUCUCAUAUCGUACUGAUAUGAUGAUGUGACAUUUGUUCUGUUUGUAUCUUCAUGUAUGUGUAGUGGACACACUAGAGCAUUAUGAUGACAUCAUCAUUAUUGGACAGAACUUUCAAGGUGUAACGAAGGGAGAUCAGGAGUAUGAUGAUGUGAAGAAAAGCAAUGAAGAUGAGAAACCUGUUAGACUAUGAUGUGGGGGAGGAGUCAAAUAAAGAAGGAGGGGCCAUAUGACUCAAUGACCACACCCUCUGCCUCUGUUCAUGAAAUCAUAUUACAGUUACUGGAGCUGCUGGGAGCUUCUCAUAUUGCUAAUGCAUCAAUGACUUAUGUUUUUAUGUUAUUUUAAAUAUUUUUGUAUGAAAAUUUAAAUAUUUGUAUUGUAGCAUUGUCUUUUAUUACUAUUUUGAUAUCAAUGCUUUUCACCUAAUAAACAAAAGAUAUCAUUCCA